rnacentral:other from 1 species
UGCUCUCUGUCAUGCCCGUGAGGCCGCAACACCCUGGCGGAAUAUUUUAUAAAUCGGGGGUCUUUUUCAGCCGUGGUGUGCUGCCCCAUUGCGCGGGAAUUGCCUGAAGCGGCUUCUAGUCCCCCACCUAAUAGGAACUCGCCCAGAGGUCCUCUGGCCCACGACAUUACGGAGAGCAU